UUAAAUUAAAAUAAAUUUUAUAAAUAGAUUAAUAUACAAUUAAUUAUAUAGUGGCAUGUAUAAAAUCUAACAAUACUAAAAGUAGGAUAUCAAGCUCUCUAAGCGCGUCUACGUGGGAUUGGAAAUUCAGACCAAUCAGAGAUUGACUUUCUGCCACGUCACUUAUUUCCUCGGUCUGAACCGGAUCAAGAUUUAUGUAUCUGAGAGGGUCCCAUUUUGAGAUCCAUCGUCAAACCCUUCAUCUUCCUGCACCUCCCUUCUUUCAUCAAACGUAUAAAAAAAAUAUCACUCACGAAUAGAUCAACGUUACAUCUCCUUCACUCCUUUAAGGAAAAACCACAUUCAACACACAAUUUUGCCUUCAGUUCCAAAUUAAAUCCCUUCUAAACAUCUCUCUAUUACAUCUACCCUUUCAUUUCAAUCUGAAUCCAGUCAUUUCAUGUAUCUAUGAAAGCUCUCCUAUAAAUUUAGGGCCAAACACGACUAAACCCUCGCCACAAUCCACCGCAAAAACAUGUCGUCAGCAGAUUCGUCUUUCUCAAUUCCCGUCUUCCUUUAUUGAUGAUCUUCAUCAUGAUUUAUGUCUCGGCUUCAUACAUCUCCCUCGACAGUCUCCAUCUGGAUUGAUUCAACGUAUUGGAUUGCAUAUAUGUUGGCUUACGAAAAAGCUGAGAGUUUCAUUCAAGGGAAAUAAAAAGGACGCCACUGAAUUCUUGGAGGAGAUGAAUGAGAAAGAAGCUACAUAGAUGAAAGAAAUCAUGGGUCGAAAGGGGAAUGGAGUUCUAUGUGUCUACCCUCGGGAAAAGAACAUCAAAAAUAUGCUGUCCAUCUCAAAAGAGAAGAAGAAAGAGCACCAACGAGUUCAAGCAGACUUUCUUUCUUAGUUUUGCUUUUUAAGAUUUCAAGAAUAAAAUCAGGUUAGUCCUGUGGAUGGCACCGUUCUGAGGUUCGGGGAGUUAAAAGAAAGUAGAGGGAUGAACGAGCAAGUCAAAGGACAUUCCUACUCAGCACCAGGUCUUCUCGGAACAAACUCACCUUCCCAUGGUACCUGAAGGUAAGGAUGAAUCUGAGAAAGAAGUUGUUGCAGAUAAAAUCGACAAGUCUUGGUUGAGAAUCUCUUUGGCUUCUCCAAAACUACGGGAGAGCAUCUCAGCUAGGGGCUCUAUUAUUGUGUGAUAUACCUAAGACCAGUGGACUAUCAUCGUAUACACUCUCCAGCUGACUGGAAUGCAUUGGUUCGUAGACACUUUGCAGGUCGUACUUGAAGGGAUAUGGAAACAAGGUUUUAUGGCACUUGAUGUUGAUGGUGCGACCAACAUUGGAUCCAUUGAGCUAUUCAUCGAACCUAGGAGCAAGUGUAUGAUCCACAAGGUCAUGGCGUAAAGCUUGAGAAAGGAAAGGAGGUAGGUGUAUUCAACAUGGGAUCAACUGUGGCGGUUCAAACAGUUCCUCAGAUUACAGAUUCUGUGUGAAACUCUGUUUGUUAAUGACAGUGUCUGAAUAUGACCCUUUGACAGGCUAAUAGCGGUUGAGUGUUGGAGCUACCUAGAUGCCUAGAAGAACUCGCUGGCAAGCAAUGCUUCUUUCAUGAUUCAAGUGAAACCAUACAAUUUCACUCCCAACCAUGGCACCUUCACGUACAAUGUCUGCAACUUCUGAGGACGUGUCUGUGAAACUCAUUCAGAGAUAAACAAAGCUUAGUAAAGAAAACAUCUUCAACAGCGGUGAUUGAAAUAACGCAUCUACUUAUUAGUUAUAGGUUGAAAGCAGCAACACAACUCCACAAGCGGCAUGGCAGAUUGCACAACCACCUGCUUCUGGCACCAACCCGAUGGAUGGGGCUACAAAAGGGAUGGACGUUGAUCAACCAACACCACCCAGCUUUGAAGAUGAGGAGAAGAGCCUCAAACGCCCCUGGAGUGAUUGUUGGAAGUACUACAAUUCGUCUUUCCCACCAAGUUUUCUUUUCCUACAUUACAAGCUCUGCGCAAUUACUCUUUUCCGUCGUUUGUGUUUUUCCUAUUUUCUUUUUAAAAUUUCCUGCAACAAGCUCCAUCUGAGAACAUUGUUAUUCUAAUUUAAAUUAAAGGAAGUUUGAUGGCUUAA